rnacentral:lncRNA from 1 species
GGGGCAAUGCUUGUGGAGGAUGUCCGAGCCAAGAGAAGUGUUUUUGUGGAGAGGGCACCAAAGAGUAGAAAAGCUUUCCAAUGGUUAGAGUGUUGUUUCCGACCUCCAUGAGUUUUUGAGGUAUCGUCGAGCUCUAGACGUUAAAUUAAGCACUUGUUGGGAGGUAACCCAACCGUUUUCUUUGUUUUGUUUUCCUUUUGUUUAGUUUCUUUUUGUUUCUUUGUUUUCUUUGUUUUCUUUGUUUUCUUUGUUUUGGGGUUUUUAGUGCAGCGUUGAGCUUGGUAGAUGCGGGAACUCGCGCUUGGUUCAUACCACCACCAUGGAGCAUGUUUUUCUGUGAGUAGUGACACACAUAUCAUCAUCCCUCCAAACUUAUUUUCGAACUUAUGUUCUGUAAUAAGUUUGGGGGAGGGGGGUGAGAGUAGAUAUGUGUAUCACUUUUAUCUUUUUGUUAGCUUUAUGUUUUAUCCUACUUGGUUGGUGGUGUGUGUGUGUUUUAUUUUUGAGAUGAUUAUUGCUCCAUUAGAUUUCUGGUGAGAUGCCAAUGAUGAUUUCUGUGAAAAAAUUGGAGUUUGAUUUUCUUUGAUGAUUUAAGCAUAAUUGGAACUAAUUUGCAUAAUUCUAGAGUGAUUUUG